CAGCAGCCGCGGUAAUACGUAGGGGGCAAGCGUUAUCCGGAUUUACUGGGUGUAAAGGGAGCGCAGACGGCUCUGCAAGUCUGAAGUGAAAGCCCGCGGCUUAACCGCGGGACUGCUUUGGAAACUGCAGGGCUUGAGUAUCGGAGGGGCAGGCGGAAUUCCUAGUGUAGCGGUGAAAUGCGUAGAUAUUAGGAAGAACACCAGUGGCGAAGGCGACUUUCUGGACGAAAACUGACGCUGAGGCGCGAAAGCCAGGGGAGCGAACGGGAUUAGAUACCCCGGUAGUCCUGGCCGUAAACGAUGGGUACUAGGUGUAGGAGGUAUCGACCCCUUCUGUGCCGGAGUUAACGCAAUAAGUACCCCGCCUGGGGAGUACGACCGCAAGGUUGAAACUCAAAGGAAUUGACGGGGGCCCGCACAAGCGGUGGAGUAUGUGGUUUAAUUCGACGCAACGCGAAGAACCUUACCAGGUCUUGACAU
rnacentral:rRNA from 1 species